UCACAAUUGACUUCUAUAGUACGUUUGUUGUUUUGUAACCAAAGAGAACGACUGCAGAAAGACAAAUAAACACUGAAACUUUACCAGGUCUCGAGCCAAUCUGAAAAGAAGAAAGACAGAUUCUAUCAAAAUAAUCAAUACAAUUAUGAUGUGAAUAGGAACGAGAAGAUAUGAAUAGAAAUCACCAUUUUGUUUCUAAUUUAAAAGAACACAUUACGAUUGACGCGGAUACAGUUUAGGCCUCUUUGUACUUUAAGGCUGUACACAAAUAUAUUUAACAGGUUGCUAUUGAAAAUACAGUUUAGUGAUCAUCCCUCCCAGAGAACAGGUAGCAGUUUGGUAAAGUUAUACUUUUGUCAUCAUUAGAGAAUCAAGAAUGAACUUUGGACACUUUCCAGCGAUUGUAGCUCUGCUUUUUCUUGUAGCUGUAUCAAAUAUUUCAAGCUUAACUGGUCCAGCAGACGAAACGACACCUGCAGCAACCUCUACAGCAGCGGAUGCUUCAACCACUACAGUACCACCUGCAACAACCUCUACAGCAGCGGAUCCAUCAACCACUA
rnacentral:sRNA from 1 species